UUAGAACUUGGCUACACUGCCACAUUCAUUGCGGAAUUGACUGGAUGAACCUGGUAGAGACGGAGGAGAUCCCGAUGAUUGGGACCAAACUGUUCAUACUAUUCCCGCUGUGGAUGUCGCUGCUUUUCGUUGUCCAUUGACUGCUGAGCAGUUAUUCGAGAUGGAGAGGCGCAUCGGAAAAGAACAGAUUGAUCUCGAAAGUUUACAAAUUAAAUACUAGGAAGUGAAAAAUUAUGUUUUGAACUCAAUUGGUUAACUGAGCCCUUUUUAUUUGCCUUUCUAACACUUCUCACUCUGCCAACUCAUUCCAAUACGUGUCGAAAUUGGCUGUUGAUGUGUCCACUUGCUGGUUCAUGUGAAAGUCAAUAAAAAGCGUAACGAUAGGUCUUAACGUUA